AAGGAUUUAUUUGUGGAGGUACAAAAAGUGUAUACUGAAUAUUAAUAUAUGUUAGGUUAUCGGCACAUUUUUCAAGUUCACGACACAAGUUAAGUGACAAACUUGUCUGGGGACAAAACAAACUUCUUUUCUGCACUUGAGAGGGUUCUAUUAUAAUUGCCAUAUUUGAAGAGUCCUGUGAAUUCAAAAUUCUUCUGACACGAGAGGCUCAGUUUGGUGGCAUUCUUACUGCUGUUAAGUGGUUUGCUGCUGACCCCAACUAUUUCAUCAUUGGAGGAUAUUUUGGAACUAAGUUUAGAUUUAAUUUAAUCUCUGAUUCUUUUUUUGUUACCAAUCCAUUUGAAGAUAGAUCUAAUUACUAAUCGCAUAUGACAGGUUUACCUUUGUCGAAGCAUGACGAUGAACCAUGGACAAUCAAGAUGGUAAUAAGGACGGAUGACAAAAGUAGUGUCAUAGAUAUAUGCUUAAAUCCUACUUUUGAAGGUUUCCAUAGAGAAAUACUUAUGCUCAGGUUGGAAUUUGAUAGCGAACAUCAUGAGAUCAGCUAUAAGACUGGUAAUUCAAAGCCCCUAAAGCACAUGGCACACUUGGCGUGGAUUGGGAUAAAGGGACUAUUGGGUUCAUCAAUACCACCACGUGCAGGAAGCUAUCGCCCAAAUAAAGUGUGUUAGUGUAAAGUGGAAGCCAAUGGAACCAUGAACUACUAGCAUAAACAAACUUGGAUAGAACUAUGAAGAUUUUGAGGCUAAAAUAUGUUGAUGAACCCUUCACGAAGAACCAAUAAGAGCCACAUGAAUACACGACCUUGGACUUGCAUUGGAGGACGUCGGGACAUGGUGGAAAAGGACUUAAUGCAUCUCGGUGAACCAAGGCUCUGACAUAGAUUGCACAUCCUUGGAAAGAAUUCCAAAGCUGUCAUAUUUAUGGAUCAAGAAUGCCUUGAUCUAAAGCCUCACGCAUCUCCAGCACAUAGCCUGUCAAAUGGUGCAAUGCAGAACAAUGCACUAUUAAAUUGUAGGCAGUAUCUUGCCAUGUGUCACAUGUUUCACUACUACAAAAAAGAUUUUAAUAUAUAAAAAAUUUGCUCCUUGUUUUAA